AAGCCUGAUCCAGCCAUGCCGCGUGUGUGAAGAAGGCCUUUUGGUUGUAAAGCACUUUAAGCGAGGAGGAGGCUACUUGGAUUAAUACUCUAGGAUAGUGGACGUUACUCGCAGAAUAAGCACCGGCUAACUCUGUGCCAGCAGCCGCGGUAAUACAGAGGGUGCGAGCGUUAAUCGGAUUUACUGGGCGUAAAGCGUGCGUAGGCGGCUUCUUAAGUCGGAUGUGAAAUCCCUGAGCUUAACUUAGGAAUUGCAUUCGAUACUGGGAAGCUAGAGUAUGGGAGAGGAUGGUAGAAUUCCAGGUGUAGCGGUGAAAUGCGUAGAGAUCUGGAGGAAUACCGAUGGCGAAGGCAGCCAUCUGGCCUAAUACUGACGCUGAGGUACGAAAGCAUGGGGAGCAAACAGGAUUAGAUACCCUGGUAGUCCAUGCCGUAAACGAUGUCUACUAGCCGUUGGGGCCUUUGAGGCUUUAGUGGCGCAGCUAACGCGAUAAGUAGACCGCCUGGGGAGUACGGUCGCAAGACUAAAACUCAAAUGAA
rnacentral:rRNA from 1 species